rfam:Papilio machaon contig37389, whole genome shotgun sequence.
UUCCAGCUACGGUGACAUGGUGCCGGGGACAAUCGCCGGUAAGAUAGUGGGCGGCGUGUGCUCGCUGUCCGGAGUGCUUGUCAUCGCCCUGCCCGUGCCCGUCAUCGUCUCAAAC